rnacentral:rRNA from 1 species
AAAUCCGUCUCACACAUAUCCUGAGACCUGAUAGUGACCGCGAAUGCGGGAAGCAGGGUGAUCCUAUGCUGCCAAGAAAAUCUUCUAGCGAGGUUCGAGCCGCCCGUACCCCAAACCGACUCAGGUGGUUAGGUAGAGAAUACCAAGGCGAUCGAGUGAAUCGUGGUUAAGGAAUUCGGCAAAAUGCCCCCGUAACUUCGGGAGAAGGGGGGCCCAGACUCUGAAGUCACUUGCUGACUAGGGGAAAGGGCCGCAGACCAGGGAGAAGCGACUGUUUACUAAAAACACAGGUCCGUGCGAAGUCGCAAGGCGAUGUAUACGGACUGACGCCUGCCCGGUGCUGGAAGGUUAAGAGGACGGGUUAGAUCUUCGGGUCGAAGCUCAGAAUUUAAGCCCCAGUAAACGGCGGUGGUAACUAUAACCAUCCUAAGGUAGCGAAAUUCCUUGUCGGGUAAGUUCCGACCUGCACGAAUGGCGUAACGACUUCUCCACUGUCUCAACCGCGAACUCGGCGAAAUUGCACUACGAGUAAAGAUGCUCGUUACGCGCAGCAGGACGGAAAGACCCCGGGACCUUCACUAUAGCUUGGUAUUGGUGUUCGGGACGGCUUGUGUAGGAUAGGUGGGAGACUUUGAAGCCGGCACGCCAGUGUCGGUGGAGUCAACGUUGAAAUACCACUCUGGUCGUUCUGGAUGUCUAACCUCGGUCCGUGAUCCGGAUCAGGGACAGUGCCUGGUGGGUAGUUUAACUGGGGCGGUUGCCUCCUAAAAGGUAACGGAGGCGCUCAAAGGUUCCCUCAGCCUGGUUGGCAAUCAGGUGUCGAGUGUAAGUGCACAAGGGAGCUUGACUGCGAGAGAGACAUCUCGAGCAGGGACGAAAGUCGGAACUAGUGACCCGGCGGUGGCUUGUGGAAGCGCCGUCGCUCAACGGAUAAAAGGUACCCCGGGGAUAACAGGCUGAUCUUGCCCAAGAGUCCAUAUCGACGGCAUGGUUUGGCACCUCGAUGUCGGCUCGUCGCAUCCUGGGGGUGGAGUCGCUCCCAAGGGUUGGGCUGUUCGCCCAUUAAAGCGGUACGCGAGCUGGGUUUAGAACGUCGUGAGACAGUUCGGUCCCUAUCCGCUGUGCGCGUAGGAAACUUGAGAAAAGCUGACCCUAGUACGAGAGGACCGGGUUGGACGAACCUCUGGUGUGUCAGUUGUUCUGCCAAGAGCACCGCUGAUUAGCUACGUUCGGAAGUGAUAACCGCUGAAAGCAUCUAAGCGGGAAGCACGUUUCAAGAUGAGGUUUCCAUGGGGCUUGCCCCGAGAGGCUCCCGGCUAGACUACCGGGUUGAUAGGCCAGACGUGGAAGUGCAGUAAUGCAUGUAGCUGACUGGUACUAAUAAGCCGAUAACUUGAC